UGUCCAAUUAGGAAAAUGACCGCGAGGAGACGGAGAGAGUGGGCGACAAGGAAGGGGAACUGAGACUGAGGAGGCUAAGGACAGGCCGUGGAGACCCAGCCGGCCGGCGAGCGCCUUCAACAGGUCCCCGCCCCGGGGAGCGGGGCGUGCGGCGGCCUGCUGCCCCGGGGGCGCCCCCGACACCCCGGCGGCGCGCCCAGCCCUCCCCCACACCGGACGGCGGGGACGCGCAGCAACCCCACCCGCCGGGAGAAUAAAAAAAGGGGAACAAAGAUUAACUGAAGCGGGAGAGAGGGGGAGCAUCAGAACCUCGCAUGGAAAUGGGGGGCCCGGUCCUGCCCGGCACAAAGAGGGCCAGGGGACCCCCCACCGUGGGAAGCUUGGGGCGUCCUCCCGAGAGGAGAGUCGGUGGGGCUGGGGGGGACGCGGGUUCCUUCCGAAGUGCGGGCGGGGGCCGCGGAGCCCGCCCCUCCCCAGGCAGAGGUGGAAGGCUGGGUGUGUUCUUCACUUAUGUAUUUUUAAAGUAGGCAGAUGGGCGUGGAACAAACAUCCCCGCGGAGCACUAAACUGUAAGAAGCCUUUAAACAGCUGUUUGCAGAGCCCUGGACGUCCAGACUCGAGGGAGCGGUGCGGACUGCGAGCGCCAGGGCCCGGGUGGGGAAGGGGCUCCGAGGAGCCGCUGGGAUCGGCCCCUCGUGGGCUCGCCAAUCCCACGGCCCGGGCCUUCGCCCCCUGGCGCACUGCUGGGGGGCGCUGAGGCGUGGCCGUUGGCAGCGCGGGGGUCAAGCCCCUGGCGCCUUCCUGCAGGGCCUCGGGGCUUGGCACAGCCUUGCCUUUCCCCGGCUUCCGACCCGACUCUCGGCCUCUAACCUCCAGCCGCUUCUCCACUCCGAGCCCUCGGACAGGACGCGGUAGAGCCUCCCCGAAGGGUGGCUGGGAUUGGGGAAUACCUACGUCUGACCAAGAUGGCCAGUGUGUUGUCUCAGGAACAGGACUGGAAUGUGAAGACUGUGGUUACCAAGGCCUGGCCUGAUCAGUGGAGGUGUAGCCUGCCUGAAGAACAAAUAGGAAUCAGAAGAGAGUGGGCCUCGUAAAAUCCUGGAGGGCCGAUAGGAGCAGGCGCCUGGCUGUGUUUGCUCAGUGGAGAGAAGUAGACACAGAAGUUCACACUGGGGAGAACAGAGGGGGAGAAAGAGACUUUUGACUCUUCCAGAGCCUGAAUUAAAUCUCUCAAAACCUCUUAGUCCUUUGCUUGGGUUCCUCAUUUUUCAAGCAACCUGCAGGUGAACUUGGCACCAACAAAAUGCCCCCUGGAUCCAGACAGACACCAGGGUUCCAGUUCCUGCAUUGUAAACCUUUUACGCUUCUAUUAUUUCUUUAUGACACAAGUUCAUUGUGAGAGAAUUUGAUAACCAGCUAAGCAAAACUGAACGAGAACUCCAGUAGAGACAUUAUAUUUUUGUGUGUGUCCUUGGACAUUUUAUAUCCACAUAUCUACAUGUA